rnacentral:rRNA from 1 species
GUGAGGAAUUUUCCGCAAUGGGCGAAAGCCUGACGGAGCAAUGCCGCGUGCAGGAAGACGGCCCUCUGGGUUGUAAACUGCUUUUAUCUGGGAAGAAAAAGGCCAUGCGUGGCAAAUUGCCGGUACCAGAUGAAUAAGCACCGGCUAACUCCGUGCCAGCAGCCGCGGUAAUACGGAGGGUGCGAGCGUUGUCCGGAUUUAUUGGGGUUAAAGGGUGCGUAGGCGGCUGAUUAAGUCAGCGGUGAAAGACUUCGGCUUAACCGGAGCAGUGCCGUUGAUACUGGUUGGCUUGAGUGUCGGAGGGGUACAUGGAAUUGAUGGUGUAGCGGUGAAAUGCAUAGAUACCAUCAGGAACACCGAUAGCGAAGGCAUUGUACUGGCCGACAACUGACGCUGAUGCACGAAAGUGUGGGGAUCGAACAGGAUUAGAAACCCGUGUAGUCC